rnacentral:rRNA from 1 species
GACGAACGCUGGCGGCAUGCCUAACACAUGCAAGUCUAGGGGUAGCAAUACCACUGGCGCACGGGUGAGUAACACGUAGGUUAUCUGCCCCCAUCACAGACAUAACCCCGGGAAACCGGGGCUAAUAUCUGAUGAGGUCGCGAGAUCAAAGCUUCGGCGGAUGGGGAUGAGCCUGCGGCUGAUUAGCUAGUUGGUGAGGUAAUGGCUCACCAAGGCGACGAUCAGUAGCUGGUCUGAGAGGACGAACAGCCACACUGGAACUGAGACACGGUCCAGACUCCUACGGGAGGCAGCAGUGAGGAAUAUUGGUCAAUGGGAGCAAUCCCGAACCAGCAAUGCCGCGUGUGGGAUGACAGGGCUUCGCCUUGUAAACCACUGUCGGACGGGACGAAAGGAGGCCUCGGGCCUCUGGGACGGUACCGUCAAAGGAAGGGUCGGCUAACUACGUGCCAGCAGCCGCGGUAAU